UGGGGAAUAUUGCACAAUGGGGGAAACCCUGACGCAGCGACGCCGCGUGAGCGAAGAAGGCCUUAGGGUUGUAAAGCUCUGUUUUAGGGGACGAAUGUCGUGGUCAGUAAUAUGGACUACGAAUGACGGUACCCUAAGAGGAAGCCCCGGCUAACUACGUGCCAGCAGCCGCGGUAAGACGUAGGGGGCGAGCGUUGUCCGGAAUUACUGGGCGUAAAGAGCACGUAGGCGGGAACCUAAGUCAGGAGUGAAAGACCGAGGCUCAACCUCGGGUGUGCACUUGAAACUGGGUUUCUUGAGGGCAGGAGAGGAAAGCAGAAUUCCUGGUGUAGCGGUGAAAUGCGUAGAAAUCAGGAGGAAUACCAGUGGCGAAGGCGGCUUUCUGGACUGACCCUGACGCUGAGGUGCGAAAGCGUGGGUAGCAAACAG
rnacentral:rRNA from 1 species